rnacentral:rRNA from 1 species
UACUUAGUGGCAGACGGGUGAGUAACAUGUGUGUAUCUACCCUUUGGCCUGGAAUAACACGAGGAAACUUGUGCUAAUACCGGAUAAGUCUUUACGGAGAAAGCUUUAUGCACCAUUGGAUGAGCCCGCACUUGAUUAGUUUGUUGGUAGGGUAAUGGCCUACCAAGACUAUGAUCAAUAGCUGAUUUGAGAGGAUGAUCAGCCACAUUGGGACUGAGACACGGCCCAAACUCCUACGGGAGGCAGCAGUGGGGAAUCUUGCACAAUGGAGGAAA